UUUAAAGAUUAAGCCAUGCAUGUAUAAGUAUAAACGAUUUUAUCGUGAAACCGCGAACGGCUCAUUAUAACAGCUAUAAUUUACUUGAUCUUGACUUCCUACUUGGAUAACUGUGGUAAUUCUAGAGCUAAUACAUGCACCAAAGCUCCGACCUUACGGGAAGAGCGCAUUUAUUCGAACAAAACCAAGCGGCUUCGGCCGUUCGCAGUUGACUCAGAAUAACUAAGCUGAUCGCAUGGUCUUGAACCGGCGACGUGUCUUUCAAGUAUCUGCCUUAUCAACUUUCGAUGGUAGUGUAUCUGACUACCAUGGUGGUGACGGGUAACGGAGGAUAAGGGUUCGACUCCGGAGAAGGGGCCUGAGAAAUGGCCACUACGUCUAAGGAUGGCAGCAGGCGCGCAAAUUACCCACUCUCAGAAUGAGGAGGUAGUGACGAGAAAUAACGAGACCGUUCUCUACGAGGCCGGUCAUCGGAAUGGGUACAAUUUAAACCCUUUAACGAGUAUCUAUGAGAGGGCAAGUCUGGUGCCAGCAGCCGCGGUAAUUCCAGCUCUCAAAAUGCAUAGAAUUAUUGCUGCGGUUAAAAAGCUCGUAGUUGGAUCUGUGCCGGUGGACCCGGUCCACCCGAAAGGGUGUGUACUGGGCUCCCCGGCUUUCUGCCGGUUUUCCCGUCGUGGCCUUAACUGGUUGCGUCGGGUGGCUGGCGAUUUUACUUUGAACAAAUCAGAGUGCUUAAAACAGGCGUUUCGCUUGAAUGUUCGUGCAUGGAAUAAUAGAAAAGGAUUUCGGUUCUAUUUUAUUGGUUUUAUAGACUGAGAUAAUGGUUAACAGAGACAAACGGGGGCAUUCGUAUUGCUGCGUGAGAGGUGAAAUUCUUGGACCGCAGCAAGACGAACUACAGCGAAAGCAUUUGCCAAGAAUGUCUUCAUUAAUCAAGAACGAAAGUCAGAGGUUCGAAGGCGAUCAGAUACCGCCCUAGUUCUGACCGUAAACGAUGCCAACUAGCGAUCCGCCGGUGGAUGCAUUGCCCUGGUGGGGAGCUUCCCGGAAACGAAAGUCUUCCGGUUCCGGGGGAAGUAUGGUUGCAAAGCUGAAACUUAAAGGAAUUGACGGAAGGGCACCACCAGGAGUGGAGCCUGCGGCUUAAUUUGACUCAACACGGGAAAACUCACCCGGCCCGGACACCGUAAGGAUUGACAGAUUGAUAGCUUUUUCAUGAUUCGGUGGAUGGUGGUGCAUGGCCGUUCUUAGUUCGUGGAGCGAUUUGUCUGGUUUAUUCCGAUAACGAGCGAGACUCUAGCCUACUAAAUAGUCCACACAUUUCUUUGUGCUGUGGUACUUCUUAGAGGGAUUUUCGGUGUACAGCCGCACGAAAUUGAGCAAUAACAGGUCUGUGAUGCCCUUAGAUGUCCGGGGCUGCACGCGCGCUACACUGGCAAAAUCAGCGUGCUUGUCCUUUCCCGAAAGGGAUUGGUAAACCAUUGAAAAUUUGCCGUGAUUGGGAUUGGAAAUUGCAAUUAUUUUCCGUGAACGAGGAAUUCCAAGUAAGUGCGAGUCAUCAACUCGCGUUGAUUACGUCCCUGCCCUUUGUACACACCGCCCGUCGCUGCCCGGGACUGAGCCAUUUCGAGAAACUUGGGGAUCGCUGGUCGGGGACCUUCGGGUCUUCCUUCCGGUGAAAACCAAUUUAAUCGCAGUGGCUUGAACCGGGCAAAAGUCGUAACAAGGUGGCUGUAGGUGAACCUGCUGCCGGAUCAUUAACGACAUACACAUACCAUUGAACAUGGCUAUGUUUGAGGGCUGGCUCCAGGCCGAGCGCAUUUGCGGCCUG
rnacentral:rRNA from 1 species